rnacentral:rRNA from 1 species
CCUACGGGCGGCUGCAGUCGAGAAUCAUUCACAAUGGGGGAAACCCUGAUGGUGCGACGCCGCGUGGGGGAAUGAAGGUCUUCGGAUUGUAAACCCCUGUCAUGUGGGAGCAAAUUAAAAAGAUAGUACCACAAGAGGAAGAGACGGCUAACUCUGUUCCAGCAGCCGCGGUAAUACAGAGGUCUCAAGCGUUGUUCGGAAUCACUGGGCGUAAGGCGUGCGUAGGCUGUUUCGUAAGUCGUGUGUGAAAGGCGCGGGCUCAACCCGCGGACGGCACAUGAUACUGCGAGACUAGAGUAAUGGAGGGGGAACCGGAAUGCUCGGUGUAGCAGUGAAAUGCGUAGAUAUCGAGAGGAACACUCGUGGCGAAGGCGGGUUCCUGGACAUUAACUGACGCUGAGGCACGAAGGCCAGGGGAGCGAAAGGGAUUAGAUACCCUUGUAGUC